rnacentral:rRNA from 1 species
UACGGGGGAUGCAAGCGUUAUCCGGAUUUAUUGGGUUUAAAGGGUGCGUAGGCUGUGAGGUAAGUCAGCGGUGAAAUGCCCCCGCUCAACGGGGUGAAGUGCCAUUGAUACUGCCUUGCUGGAAUGCGGAUGCCGUGGGAGGAAUGUGUGGUGUAGCGGUGAAAUGCAUAGAUAUCACACAGAACACCGAUUGCGAAGGCAUCUCACGAAUCCGCGAUUGACGUUGAUGCACGAAAGCGUGGGUAUCAAACAGG